rnacentral:rRNA from 1 species
CCUACGGGAGGCAGCAGUGGGGGAUAUUGCACAAUGGGGGGAACCCUGAUGCAGCGACGCCGCGUGGGUGAAGGAGUGCUUCGGCAUGUAAAGCCCUAUCGGCAGGGAAGAAGCAAGACGGUACCUGACUAAGAAGCCCCGGCUAACUACGUGCCAGCAGCCGCGGUAAUACGUAGGGGGCGAGCGUUAUCCGGAUUCACUGGGUGGAAAGGGAGCGUAGACGGCCAUGCAAGCCAGGGGUGAAAGCCCGGGGCCCAACCCCGGGACUGCCCGUGGAACUGCAUGGCUGGAGUGCGGGAGGGGCAGGCGGAAUUCCUGGUGUAGCGGUGAAAUGCGUAGAUAUCAGGAGGAACACCGGCGGCGAAGGCGGCCUGCUGGACCGCGACUGACGUUGAGGCUCGAAAGCGUGGGGAGCGAACAGGAUUAGAUACCCCUGUAGUC